AGUGAACGCUGGCGGUAGGCCUAACACAUGCAAGUCGAACGGCAGCACAGUAAGAGCUUGCUCUUACGGGUGGCGAGUGGCGGACGGGUGAGGAAUACAUCAGAAUCUACUUUUUCGUGGGGGAUAACGUAGGGAAACUUACGCUAAUACCGCAUACGACCUACGGGUGAAAGCAGGGGAUCUUCGGACCUUGCGCGAUUGAAUGAGCCGAUGUCGGAUUAGCUAGUUGGCGGGGUAAAGGCCCACCAAGGCGACGAUCCGUAGCUGGUCUGAGAGGAUGAUCAGCCACACUGGAGCUGAGACACGGUCCAGACUCCUACGGGAGGCAGCAGUGGGGAAUAUUGGACAAUGGGCGCAAGCCUGAUCCAGCCAUACCGCGCGGGUGAAGAAGGCCUUCGGGUUGUAAAGCCCUUUUGUUGGGAAAGAAAAGCAGCAGGUUAAUACCCCGCUGUUCUGACGGUACCCAAAGAAUAAGCACCGGCUAACUUCGUG
rnacentral:rRNA from 1 species